rnacentral:rRNA from 1 species
CGGCGGACGGGUGAGUAACGCGUGGGUAACCUACCCUGUACACACGGAUAACAUACCGAAAGGUAUGCUAAUACGGGAUAAUAUAUUUGAGAGGCAUCUCUUGAAUAUCAAAGGUGAGCCAGUACAGGAUGGACCCGCGUCUGAUUAGCUAGUUGGUAAGGUAACGGCUUACCAAGGCGACGAUCAGUAGCCGACCUGAGUGGGUGAUCGGCCACAUUGGAACUGAGACACGGUCCAA